rnacentral:rRNA from 1 species
UACAGAGGGUGCAAGCGUUGUUCGGAAUUAUUGGGCGUAAAGGGCGCGUAGGCGGUGCGGUAAGUCACCUGUGAAACCUCUGGGCUUAACUCAGAGCCUGCAGGCGAAACUGCCGUGCUUGAGUGUGGGAGAGGUGCGUGGAAUUCCUGGUGUAGCGGUGAAAUGCGCAGAUAUCAGGAGGAACACCAGCGGCGAAGGCGGCGCUCUGGGCCGGUACUGACACUGAGGAGCGAAAGCGUGGGGAGCAAACAGG